GUUCGGUAUACGAAUGGCAGCCACCCAGCAUUCGUCAAUUAAGCUGCGGUUAACCGCAGAUUCUGGGAGGUUAAUUGCCGACACACUCCAGCUCCAAGGUGGUCCAGUCAUUUGUGCGUUAGUUCGGUAGAUUGAAUCUACCGACCGCCGGGCAGAAAGGCACGAAUAAGCCUUUUCUGCAGGGGAAAAGAAGGCUUUUAACAUGGGGCCAUAAUCCAAAGGCAACAGGCGAGCAACCAGGCUUCUCCAAUGCAAUGUGGCGAGAUUGGUCUCCUCACACCAAUCUUACAUUUUUUAUUUUUUUUGUCCUCCUGUAUACCUCAUAUUAGCUCCAGAAUUUCUCCAAUCACACACUUAGAAGUAGCAAACAAGCUAUAUUAGCCAAGCUAAUGACCAC